AGUGAACGCUGGCGGUAGGCCUAACACAUGCAAGUCGAACGGCAGCACAGGAGAGCUUGCUCUCUGGGUGGCGAGUGGCGGACGGGUGAGGAAUACAUCGGAAUCUACUCUGUCGUGGGGGAUAACGUAGGGAAACUUACGCUAAUACCGCAUACGACCUACGGGUGAAGGCAGGGGAUCUUCGGAACUUGCGCGAUUGAAUGAGCCGAUGUCGGAUUAGCUAGUUGGCGGGGUAAAGGCCCACCAAGGCGACGAUCCGUAGCUGUUCUGAGAGGAUGAUCAGCCACACUGGAACUGAGACACGGUCCAGACUCCUACGGGAGGCAGCAGUGGGGAAUAUUGGACAAUGGGCGCAAGCCUGAUCCAGCCAUACCGCGUGGGUGAAGAAGGCCUUCGGGUUGUAAAGCCCUUUUGUUGGGAAAGAAAUCCAGCUGGCUAAUACCCGGUUGGGAUGACGGUACCCAAAGAAUAAGCACCGGCUAACUUCGUGCCAGCCGCCGCGGUAA
rnacentral:rRNA from 1 species